rnacentral:tRNA from 1 species
GGGCGAUUAGCUCAGUUGGAUAGAGCGUUGGCCUCCGAAGCCAAAGGCCGUGGGUCCGAAUCCCAUAUUGCCCUCCA